CCUGCUUUUACUGUCCUUCUGUGGUAGCUUGCAGUCCAUUUCUAAGAGUGGCAGCCUAUAGGAAGGGCUAGAAUCCUGCUGUAGCCUUCAGGGACACACUUGCACUGGGGCAAAAGUAGCCAAGCUGCUCAACGCAUAGAGGAUGCUCACUUCUCCUUGAAAAAUGCCCCAAAGAAACCCUUGGGGGGAAAAAAAAAAAUCUUUUCUUUUUUCCCCUCUGGAAGGAGUUUGUUCUUGUGUAGGCAGGGUCACACUGCAUCCACCAAUCACUGCUGUUUCUAUGUGUCCACAAGUAACAAGCUAACAAAGAACAAGCUAAUUAGACAGAACUAAUAAAAAACAUUGGUAAUUAUUCUCUGAAAGUUCUGAUCUGUGGCUGAUGCAAAAAUGAAGAAUUUGUGCUUCUCAAUGUGUUUCCCGUUUGCUGUCUCACAUUCUUUCUAGCUCUACCUAGAUUUUCUUAUUUGUUUGUUUUAAAUGCCAUUGAAACCAUGGCAGCAAGGGCAGUGGAAGGAAAGAACAAAGAAGGUGGAGAAGAUGGAGUCCUUUUAUACCUGAAUUCAGGGGGCAGGUGGGAAUAUGCUGAAGCAGAAGCACCAAAGUGAGAAGAAGGUCUUCUAAGGUAUUUCAAAUCAAAGGAAAGUAAACCAAGACAGAACAGAUGCUUGAAAUACAGAAUAAUCUUCAGUGUGUAUCCCAAAGAUAAGAGUGAGGAAUCUCAAAGCUACGUUUCUGCAACAAGAAUGCCAAGUAAAAAAAGAGUGCUUGUCCCUCAGCGAGCUCACAUCACUGCCAUGCCACAAGGAGAAGCAAAACUGAAGAAAUUAUAUCCCGUGGAGCACAAAGAUUUCCCACCAUCCUACAGGCCAACACUGUUGGUACACUCAGUACCUCAGCAGCUGUACAGCUGAGGACGGAUCUGCGCCCAGUUU
rnacentral:lncRNA from 1 species